AAUGAACGUUGGCGGCGUGCCUAACACAUGCAAGUCGAGCGAGAAAGUUCCUUCGGGAAUGAGUACAGCGGCGGACGGGUGAGUAACACGUAAGAAUCUGCCCUAUAGUGAGGAAUACCCUCGAGAAAUUGAGGUUAAUACUGCAUAAGUCCCUUCGGGGAGAAAAGCGUCUUUUAUGUCGCUGCUAUAGGAUGAGCUUGCGGACUAUCAGCUUGUUGGUGAGGUAAAGGCUCACCAAGGCUAUGACGGUUAACCGGCCUGAGAGGGUGUACGGUCACAUAGGCACUGAGAUACGGGCCUGACUCCUACGGGAGGCAGCAGUGGGGAAUAUUGGACAAUGGGGGGAACCCUGAUCCAGCCAUGCCGCGUGUGUGAAGAAGGCCUUAUGGUUGUAAAGCACUUUAAGCGAGGAGGAGGCUCUUUUGGUUAAUACCCAAGAUGAGUGGACGUUACUCGCAGAAUAAGCACCGGCUAACUCUGUGCCAGCCGCCGCAGUAAUAC
rnacentral:rRNA from 1 species